AUAAAAAACAAUGAUGGGAACAGAGAUCUUGCCAGAAUAGCAUACGACAACAAUUAUCUUCGAAAAGUUGUUUCUUAAACUCCGCCCUCGUAAAACAACCACUCCUUGGCUGCUACAGCCGCUGGAAGCGACACAGGUGUCAGUAGGCUUAUUAGCGCAGACCCACAAAAAAUGAUCUUCCUCCGUGAGUUGUAUCUUUGAGCGUCAAAAGCAUGUAUCUGUUGUGAUGGGAUUCAACACCACUGACGCCCCAUUUGGUCCAUUUCCAGCGUGCAUCUGAUCUGUAAAAAAUGAAGUGAAGCAAUAAAUAUGAAGGCCAAAUUAGUAAGAUGACAAAAUGCAGAUAAACUGAAAACUGUAUGAACAAACUUGCUAACCUACCUGGGAUUUCUUGACAAACUAAGCAACUAGGAUGGACAGCUUUAUUCGAGAAGAUCGAACAAGGACUGAAGUAGCUGAAGGUCUGAAUACUCAUAAAUAAGAAAACAGUCUAGAUAAGCAGAACAAAUUUUUCGUGGUUGUAGGCUGUGGUGGACUUAGGUCUGAAACAAUGAAUACUAAAUUAAGACUGAACAGUGAAUACUAACUAACCUACCUAUGUGGUAACACACAAAACUGAACAAAAUGACACCUAACACUGAAACUAAUAACAUAACUAAAAAAUGACACUAACCCCUGAGAGUACUUAAAAUGACACUAGUGUGGGAGAAGUUGUUGAGUAAGUGUGGGACAACUUUGGCUCGGAGAUGUGAAAUAUAACCUACAGGUACAAAAAUAAAGGUAAGAAAAUGAUCAGGACUCAUUGGAAAAUGACAGAGUGAGUAAGCACUAGGGACUCAGACUGAUUGACUAAAAACUGAUAGACUAAAAAAGGAAAUGAAUGCAACAAGUAAUGACUAAAUGAGAAAAACAAAUCUAAGAAAAAGCUAAAGUUUAUAUAAUUCUAUCAGCUAAAAGGACUAAGUUUGUAUCUGAAGCAGGAAAAAACUGAAUUCAUACACAAACUAAAGAAGAAAUGAAAUGUUUAACUGAACAGGACAACUAUCAUGCUAUCAUAAAACAUACAUGGAGGUGUUGGUAAUAUCCACAUCAUAGCCUUGUAAAAAUGAGUGAUGAAUGAAAAAUGAAACAUAACAAGAACUAGACUGUAGUGAUAAAUGAAUAACUGACCAUGACAGUGAACUAGACUAUAGUGAUAAAUUUUUUUGAAACAGAACUAUAGUGAUAAAUUGAACAUAUUCAAAACUAAGUUACCACUCAGCUUUCAAAGUCCUCAGACAACCAAACCCCAAAAUUUAGACGCGAUGAGCGACGGUCAGCGCAGUCGGACCUGCAGAUUGGGUACGCCAUCCCCGUUACAUAUGUAGCAGAGAAAAAACUAUUUUUUUAGCAAAAAGAUGACUGAAAAACUAAGAACAGAGACUCACCAGAUAACUAAUUUAAACUACAGGAAUUAUAAACACAUAUCAAGUCUAACAAAUUUAAAAUGAAUGCCGAAAAUACAGGAAUAACAUCAUAAAGUGAAAAUAAUAAGCUGAAUGGAAACUAACUAGUUAGAAUAAUAAAUGACUUAACUUAAAACUGAUAGACUAGAACAAACACUGACCAAAUAACUGAAGAGAACUAAAAUGAGACACUUAAGAUACUAAACAAACACCGACCAAAUAACUAAUCACUUAAUAUACAGUUGAAGAGAACUAAAACUGAUACUUUAGAGUACUGAUGACUAAAAACUGAAAAUAAUCUAGCAAAAAAACCAGUGCAAAAAACUGAAAACCAAAAACUAAAAACUUAGGACUUACAGGAACAUAAGGUUCAAAACAGAAAUAAUCAUCUACUAAAAGACAAGACUCAUGAGAGAUAGGAGUGAAGAAAGAUGCAAAUGAUAACUAAAUAUGAUAAAAAUGAGGACUGAUACUAUUACCAAAACUAACAUAAGACUGAGAAGGCAAGCUUACAAACUGAGGAAGAAAAACACCAAUUGCUGGAACAAAAUUAUAGAAAGGUACUGAAAACGGAAGACUAGACUACAGAAACACUGAAAACAAAGAUUCUAAAGACACAGAAAACUGAAGAACUAGAGAUAGAGAGAAAAGAGGGCUGAAUAAACAAGACAAAAAAGGUGGUUGAAUAGUAAGGUGACUCAAGAAACACUGAAAAGUGAAGGAUUGAAGACAGAGAAAAGAAAUCUGAAGAAAUAAACAAUUACUAAAGACUGAAGAAAGAUGACUGAAAAUAUAUAUGAAAUAGUUACUGAUGACAGGAUGAAGAAGAGAUGUAAUGGGCAAGGUAUGCAAACAGAUGAAUGAAGCAAUUCCAACAGGACAAUAGGGACCCUAACCACUAUAUGGCGCAGAGUGGAGGUGACAGUUUGACUGUCGAGCUAUUGAAUCCUACUAUAGCCUGACAAUUUGUCUAACCUCCCUGAUUGGAUAAGUGAUUUUCAGGCACUGUAGUUAAAAAAAAUAUGAAGUGAAGUUUGCAGCAGUUGAAAUUCAUUUUAAACGAUAGCCAUUGCCAGAAGAACUAAACAAAAAAGUAGGCCCUUUCGCCUUUGAGACACAUCGAUCUUUCACAACUAGCGCGCAACCUAGCCGACCCGUCUCCUGGUAGAUGUUGAUUUCUUCGCGUGUGUUCAAAGAAACUAAUUUAGGGGUGCUCUGGUUUUUUUACUGUUAGGCUGACCCCUGAAAAAAUUGACUUCGAACACACCUUAAUUGGAGGCACUACAAUGAAAGAAAAAUCGCUGUCUACUGAAAAAUGAACGCCCAUGAACCUGCACUACAGCAAAAAAGAAACCUACACCGAAAAGCAACCAGUGUUCAUGCAGGAAAAAGGCCUAAACCUACAAAAAGCAUACUGAAAAAUUAUAAUAGCCAAUACAUAACAGGUAACAGGAAAAAUUCAGAUCUGUCUGUUUUAGCGUGAAUAAAUCACGCCAAAAAAUAACCGUGAGCUUGCUCACAAAAGUCGGGCGUGAGAAGCAAAACCAUCUCCAUAAUGAAGGAAAUAUUUAAGCUGAAUAAUGUACAGAACAUGGUAAAAAAAACUGAAUAAUCUAGUACCAAAAGCUAGCUCUCAUUCACUAAACUGAAAAAUGAUAAGUACAGAAAAUAUAGAUUGUGCGCAUGUAACAUGUUUUCAUCAUGGAAGAUGCUACCGAAGAAAAUAGGAUUCAGAACAUUCCUUCGUCCAUGCUUACAUCAACAGAAAGCAGACGAAAAUGCCGCCUGAACCAUUACUGAACAUUGCAUAGACCCUCCCACAAAAAAAUAAAAUCACCAGCAAAUGCCUAAAAAACUCAAAUACCUACUUCCACACAUGCAACACAUGUGCAGUUUUUAAAAGACUGCAGAGGAGCCGAACCGCAGAUCUACAUCCAACACUUCGUAGUCAACUUAAUGGAAUGUUUUGUUUAGUGGUGAAAUUGACACUCAACACUUCUUUGAACCGGAGAUCUAGAUCCAGAAAAACAACAAGCCGGACUUGGCGAUGAAAUUUGGGGAUUGACUGACACACACGCAUAGGUGGCUGCAAAAUAUUCAGGAUCGUUUCUCAUGAACCACUCAAAAUCGCAGAUGUGAACUAAGCUAUCGCAAAACGUUCCUACCCAAAAACCAGCUAAUCGAACAACCCCUGCGACAUGGCUCUAUGCCCGGCGACCACGACGAUGAACUGAAUCAAACACAGAAAGAGGCAGAUCAGAUAGAACAAACAAAAAAAAUGGACAAACCUAGGACAACAGGGAGACGGAAGUAUACCUUGCGCCCCACCGACGCCGGCAAAUACUACCUCCCCCAGCAUGGGUGCUUGUUGGCCGCGAGCACGACGGGGAGCUCCGCUGAGUUCCUCUCCAGCCCGCGGCCCUCUCUGUGACGCACGCCUCCAGCAAUCAAGCGCCACGCUCCAUCUCCGGUUGGCCGACCAACCGCUAAUCACCGGCGAGGAGGCCCCUUCCCUCCGCCGUCUCCGCCCGCCUCGGCCAACCCCUUCCAAUCCCCUCCCCGGCUAGGACAAAGGCCGCCGCCCUUCG
rnacentral:lncRNA from 1 species